AGCAGCCGCGGUAAUACGAAGGGGGCUAGCGUUGUUCGGAAUUACUGGGCGUAAAGCGCACGUAGGCGGAUUGUUAAGUGAGGGGUGAAAUCCCAGGGCUCAACCCUGGAACUGCCUUUCAUACUGGCAAUCUCGAGUCCGGAAGAGGUGAGUGGAAUUCCGAGUGUAGAGGUGAAAUUCGUAGAUAUUCGGAGGAACACCAGUGGCGAAGGCGGCUCACUGGUCCGGUACUGACGCUGAGGUGCGAAAGCGUGGGGAGCAAACAGG
rnacentral:rRNA from 1 species